GGCCACGCGGGGGAGAGGCCACGCAGGGGAGAGGUCACAUGGGGGAGGACACGCAGGGGAGAGGUCACAAGGGGGAGAGGCCGCAGGGGGAGAGGUCACAUGGGGGAGAGGCUACACAGGGGAGAGGCCGCACGCUGGGGAGAUGGUCCCUGCGGGAAGACUCCGAGGCAGUCUCCUGCAGCUCCUUCCGGCGAAUCCGGUUCAGGAAGUAAAACCAGCCCUGUGUAGAGGCUGAGGAUGCCAGCACCACAGACCUGGGAGGACAACACGGCCACAACAGCCAGCCAGACGCAUCCCGUGUCCAGUGUGGGCGCCAAGCUCCAUCCACACGGCUCAGGACCUCAGCAAGGGCUGACCUCAGAAGGACCAGCGUGAGGACAGGGUCAUGAGACCCAGGAGCAAAGGCACAGAGGAGUAGGCAGGACUGGGCUCAAGGCAGAAGGGGAGGUGGAAGAACAGGACGCCAGGCAGUGCCAGGUCCUGAACGCCAGGGCCGACAGGGUUCACACAGCCAAGGGCCGGCUACAAAGAGGAGGCCACUGCCUCAUGGGAAAUGAGAUGGACGGCUUCAAUGGCACGGAGCUCUGGGCAAGGGAAGGGGUGAAUCCCUAGGCCCUGGGGCCAGUUUAGCAUGGAGAGAGUAACAGGGAAGGCUUCCCAGUGUGGGGCAAAGCCACCAUGUGCCUCCUCUGCACCCCAUUCUUGCCAUGGGCCCCCUGCCCUGCCCGGCACUGUGCUCAACCCCCUCCACUGCAGGUAGGCAGCUCCAGGCCCUGAGUGGUCUGCCGCGGACCCAGGGUUGCCCCUGGUGAGGGCAUCACAUGCCAACCACACUCGUGUGGCCAGAGGCCCAACACGGAAGGCAGCCCCAGAAAUCAAGGACAGAAGUGGAGGGAAGAAGUGGAGGGAAGAAGGGGAAGGAAGACGUGGAGAGACUCAGGAAUCUCUGGAGGGUGCGGGAGAGGAGCGGACGGGGCUUGGAUCUAAGACGGAGGCACGGAAGGAGGCAGCCCAGCCAGGAGGAUGUCUCCAGACCGGGAGGGAGGGCAGCGCACACAGCUCGGGGGAGCUGCAGACAAGGAAGGUGGGUGGGGGAGGCAGGGAGAGGCCUACAGGAGGGAUGCCGAGGACAGGGCAUUUCCGGGAUGCGUGGAUAGCAGGCACCCAGGAUGGGGGACUCGGCACUCAUGCUUCAGGGGGAGACACUGCAGGUGACCCCCAUCCAGGGGAGAAGCAAGCAGGUGAGGACGCCGGCUCCAUGACUAACACACCCCCUAGUCCUACCUCUCUCCUGCUGCAACCUGAGCAGACGCUUCUGCUUCUUCGUCUUCUUCUGCCGCCUCCCUUCAAGCAGGCGCCUGCAGGCCUUCUCUGGGAUCUCAUCUUCAGGGAAAAUGCCUGAGAACCAGGGCAGAAGUCAGGGGGCUCUCGGGGGCUGGGGACUUAUGGUUUGAGGCUCGCUGCUUCCAGCAGGCCCCAGCCAGCACCACCUCCUGACAAUGUGUGUGAGAAAGCGCCCUGUUCUAAUGCCCAGGAGCAGCGUGUUCAGUACCCGCCACAGCUGAAACGAACCAGCUGAGACCCAAGCCCAUCUGGAAAAGCCAGUUCCUGGAGCAUCCAGGACACAGGUACAGCAUAGAGCGUCCACGACCCCAAAUGCCUGGGACCAGCAGUGCUUUGAAUGUCAGGUUGUUUUGGAACGUCUGCAUCAUAUUCACCAGUUCAACAGCCCUCACCUGAAAACCCCAAACAGAAAACACUGCGACGAGCAUUUCCCUGGAGCUUCCUGUCAGCACUCAGCUUUGGACUUGGUGGCAUUUUGGAUUUGGGGUUUCAGAUUAGAGACGCUCAACCUGUACACCAAAGUCUACAGCCUACAAUGCUCAUGCUGGCGGCCCAAGGCAACUUUCUGCAUCAAAACCUGCCAGAUGCACACGAUCCUCACGCACCUCACUGACGCGCGCUGUCCCGAAAACCCCAGACGACCAGCCGGGCAACACAGCGAAACCCUGUCUCUACAAAAAAUACAACAAUUAGCCGGCGUGGUGGCGUGCGCCUGUGGUCCCAGCGACUGGGAGGCUGAGGCGGGAGGAUCGCUUGAGACCAGGAGAUCGAGGCUGCAGUGAGCUGCAUCACACCACUGCACGCCAUCCUGGGCAACAGAGCGAGACACCGCCUCAAAAAAUAAAAAAUAAAAAAACCAAACCCUGGACUACAGCUGAUGACGCGCCCGCUGGCGGAUGCAGGGGUGUGAUGCUGGGAUAGAGGAGCUUCACGCAAGGACAGGAAGUGCUGAUGCUGGAGGCCGGCAGGGACACGCAGACAUCCACUAUAAAAUCCUUCCAACUGAGUUGCAGGUCUGAAACUUUUCAUAAGGAAACACCAGGGGAAACGCCUACGUCUCUAACCAUCGACGCCCACUAGGAAACCGUCCUUCCGAUAACCUAUGCCAGUUCCAUCCGCCACGCGCUGCCAAGAACAGACGUGUGCUGCCCAACAGACCAGCAGCAGCACCGCGGUCAGUGCUUGGGAGCCCCUGAGGCCAGCACCCCAUCUCUCAGGCUCUGGGGCACUCCAAUGGACACUCAAGUCUGAGAACCACUCAGCAAAAACCACAAAAACGAGAGCUGUGGAACCCUGCGCCCUGCCUCCCUGUCCCUCAGAAACACCACCAGGCCUCUCUGCAAAGAGACUCCACGUGCUAUGAGACCCCUAGAACCAAACCACUCCCACGAGGAUGGAGCUCCACCUCCAAGGUGGUGCCACUGUCAGUGCCCGGCCGAUCCUCACCUCCUGCCAGGUCCUGCAGCCUGAAAGAGUAAGACAGAUACCCACUUACCACAGCUGCGGCUUCCGCAGGA
rnacentral:lncRNA from 1 species